rnacentral:lncRNA from 1 species
CAGCGCAAGUCAUCCUCACACCUUCCAGCAGAAGUCGCCUGGACUACCGCGGCCUCCAAUUCAGCCUCCCGGAUCUUACCUCUAGCUUUCAAGGAGACUGACAAAGGUGCGGUGCUCCCACGGUUGCCCCUCCCCUGCCUGGUCCACCUCUGGUUCUCUUCGGAGUCGGUGGCUCCGGCUGGCCAGUCGUGGAUCUCAGAGGCCGUGGCAUGCACCAGGGAAACCAGGCCGCAGGGACCACCAGCUGUACCUGCCAGUCUUCUGCGCCCGCUUUGCAUUCAGCGGCAGGCAGCUUCGGCUUGGUGAAUUCUGCGCUGGCCUUCGGGACCCCCUGGGCUAAGAAAACCCUGACAGAAGUUAGAUGGCCUGAGCAAUCACUUUGCUGGUUAGUCAAGGAUCCAGGAUUCAAACAGAGGCAAGUUGGCCCAAGAGGC